rnacentral:rRNA from 1 species
GGACGGGUGAGUAAUGUCUGGGAAACUGCCUGAUGGAGGGGGAUAACUACUGGAAACGGUGGCUAAUACCGCAUAACGUCGCAAGACCAAAGAGGGGGACCUUCGGGCCUCUUGCCAUCAGAUGUGCCCAGAUGGGAUUAGCUUGUUGGUGAGGUAACGGCUCACCAAGGCGACGAUCCCUAGCUGGUCUGAGAGGAUGACCAGCCACACUGGAACUGAGACACGGUCCAGACUCCUACGGGAGGCAGCAGUGGGGAAUAUUGCACAAUGGGCGCAAGCCUGAUGCAGCCAUGCCGCGUGUAUGAAGAAGGCCUUCGGGUUGUAAAGUACUUUCAGCGGGGAGGAAGGUGUUGUGGUUAAUAACCGCAGCAAUUGACGUUACCCGCAGAAGAAGCACCGGCUAACUCCGUGCCAGCAGCCG